rnacentral:rRNA from 1 species
UGAUCCUGGCUCAGAAUCAACGCUGGCGGCGUGCCUAACACAUGCAAGUCGCACGAGAAAGUGGAGCAAUCCAUGAGUACAGUGGCGCACGGGUGAGUAACACGUGACUUAUCUACCUCCGAGUGGGGAAUAACCUAGAGAAAUCUGGGCUAAUACCGCAUAACACUUACGAGUCAAAGCAGCAAUGCGCUUGGAGAGGAGGUCGCGGCAGAUUAGUUAGUUGGCGGGGUAAUGGCCCACCAAGACGAUGAUCUGUAUCCGGCCUGAGAGGGCGCACGGACACACUGGAACUGAAACACGGUCCAGACUCCUACGGGAGGCAGCAG